UACUAGGCUGCUUUAGCAGCCACCGCUUUCAUUGUAAACUGUCACUU
rfam:Capsicum annuum cultivar Zunla-1 chromosome 11, whole genome shotgun sequence